rnacentral:rRNA from 1 species
CAACUUUCAACAACGGAUCUCUUGGCUCUCGCAUCGAUGAAGAACGCAGCGAAAUGCGAUACGUAAUGUGAAUUGCAGAAUUCAGUGAAUCAUCGAAUCUUUGAACGCACCUUGCGCCCUUUGGCAUUCCGAGGGGCACACCCGUUUGAGUGUCGUG